AGUUGAUCCUGGCUCAGAUUGAACGCUGGCGGCGUGCUUAACACAUGCAAGUCGCGCGUGAAAGGACUUCGGUCCGAGUAAAGCGGCGCACGGGUGAGUAACGCGUGGAUGAUCUACCCAUGAGUUAGGAAUAACGGCUGGAAACGGUCGCUAAUACCAAAUACGCUCCGAUUUCAACUUCGGGGGAAAGGUGGCCUCUGCUUGCAAGCUACUGCUCAUGGAUGAGUCCGCGUCCCAUUAGCUAGUUGGUGGGGUAACGGCCCACCAAGGCGACGAUGGGUAGCCGGUCUGAGAGGAUGACCGGCCACACUGGGACUGGAACACGGCCCAGACUCCUACGGGAGGCAGCAGUGGGGAAUAUUGCGCAAUGGGCGAAAGCCUGACGCAGCGACGCCGCGUGAGGGGAAUGAAGGUCCUCGGAUCGUAAACCUCUGUCAGGAGGGAAGAACCGCCACGGUGCUAAUCAGCCGUGGUCUGACGGUACCUCCAAAGGAAGCACCGGCUAACUCCGUGCCAGCCGCGGC
rnacentral:rRNA from 1 species